rnacentral:rRNA from 1 species
UUAUCAAAAACAUGGCUCUUUGCUUAAUAAAUAUAAAGAGUCGAGCCUGCCCAGUGAAUCUUUCAACGGCCGCGGUACUCUGACCGUGCAAAGGUAGCAUAAUCAUUUGCCUUAUAAUUGAAGGCUAGUAUGAAUGGUUUGACGAGAGCAAUACUGUCUCCUUUUUAUUUUCAAGAACUUAACUUUUAGGUGAAGAGGCCUAAAUUUUAUUGAAGGACAAGAAGACCCUGUCGAGCUUAAAAGAAACUAUAGAGGUUUAAUAUAUUUUUAGAUAAAUUUUCUAUUAAGCUUUUUAGUUGGGGCGACUAAGGAACAAAAAAAGCUUCUUUCUGACAAUAAACAAUCACGUUUAGAUCCGAUAGUAGCGAUUAAAGGAAUUAGUUACCGCAGGGAUAACAGCAUAAUCUCUCUUAAGAGACCUAAUCGAAAGAGGGGGUUGUGACCUCGAUGUUGGACUAGAA